GAAAAGCAAAAUAAGACUAAUAAAUAUAAGUAAUAAUUAUAAUAAUUAUUCGAGGUUUUUUUUUCUACCUUUUCUCAUAAACAUCAUUAUUUGCAAAAAUGUAUAAUACAAAUUCAUUUAAUGUUUUAAACUAUAUAAUAAUUAAUUACACUUAAUACAUGCACGUAAGAAGAAUAAUAGAUAUUAUCCAAUCAUUUUCUAAAAUACUUAAUUAACUCAAAUUAGAAAGUCUAAUUAAUUAAAUAAAUAAUUAAAUCAUUAGUCAAAUUACUAUUAUUGAGCCUAUUAAUAAAUUAAGCAAAGGCAUUUACUCGGUUAAAAUGCAUCCCAGUUUUUAAACAAAUUAAGGCCUAACUGAUUAAAAAUGCAGAGCAAUUAAAUAAAUUAAUAAAGAGUCCAAUUUUUAAGAGUUGAAGCCCAAUUUUAAUAAGCAUGCACCGGCCCAGCCACACUCCCAAUCUAUCUUUAAUAAAACAAGGCCCGACCUCUCUACUCUUCUAUUCUUCAUCAACAAAC
rnacentral:lncRNA from 1 species